rnacentral:rRNA from 1 species
UACGAAGGGGGCUAGCGUUGCUCGGAAUGACUGGGCGUAAAGGGCGCGUAGGCGGAGUGCUUUGUCAGACGUGAAAUUCCAGGGCUUAACCUUGGGGCUGCGUUUGAGACGGGCAUUCUAGAGUGGGGAAGAGGGUCGUGGAAUUCCCAGUGUAGAGGUGAAAUUCGUAGAUAUUGGGAAGAACACCAGUGGCGAAGGCGGCGACCUGGUCCUUUACUGACGCUGAGGCGCGAAAGCGUGGGGAGCAAACAGG